rnacentral:lncRNA from 10 species
CUUAACACAAAGCUUCAGAUUUAGUUUUGGAGAGAGUGAGUCUACAUUCACUUGAAGAAAACUCUUGUUUUUCAUUUGUUCUGUUGACUUCACUAUAUUUUAAAAUAUAAGUGUGUUGUGGAGAACAUACUGAAUUCUGAAUUACUAAGUUGCAUAUCCAUUUGUUGUAGAAGAGGAUUUCAGUCCAACAGUAAAAGAUUUUAGCUUGUCUCUAUAGCAGGGGUUCUUGAUCCCUAAGACAGGUAAAGAUGAGAUGAGAGGGAGAGAAGAGACACACACAGAGAGGCUUGUGAUUCCUUGAGGGGCACUACUACUCACAUCUCCUUUUGUUUUUCUUGCAGACAUAGAGAAGGGAUGGUGAUGGUGAUGGAGGGUCUCCAGGGGAUUCACACGAGUUGUGGUGGCAUCUCACUAGGCAUUGACAAGGGAAAAAAAUCCCACCCACAUGCUUGGCACGCCUGGGCGAAGCCAGCAAGGACAGUCUCUAAAAUCUGAGAUUUGAGAUCUGAUACCACAAAUGCCUUAAUGUGGCUGGCAUUCAUGAGAAGGUAUGCAACUAUUGUUGAAAUAUGAAGAACUCAGAAUGUCAAGAGAGAAGAGGAGGCUAUAUAAGCAAUAGGACUGGGAUAUGUGUGCAUUCCGAGUGCCUGGAGUGGCGAAGAUGGGGAAGAGAAAGGAUACAGAUGGAGUUCGAAUGGAUCUGGGUAUAUUAGUUAUAGCAUAUGAUUGCUGUAUAUCUGGAAAUCCAGAAAUACAUAUUUAGGAACAAACCCUAUAUAUAAUUGUUUACAUCCACAUCAGUUUGGUAUUUGACAUUUACUUACGUUACACACACACACACACACACACAAACAAACACACUGCAUAGUUUAUUUAUUACAUAAUUCAUUGGACCGAAUUUAUUAAAUCAUACCAGGGCUUAGCCUUGUAUGGUCUAUUGAUUUCUAGUUUAGUCCUAGAUUAUAACUUGACCUACUCUUCUGCUAGAUGGUUUACAAAAACCGCGAACAAAAUUUCACAAUGCUAAAGACAUAAAAAGCAAAUAAAAAUCCACCAUGCUAAAUGCUCUCAAGAAGGUCACCUUUCUAAUCCAGCUACUGUUACCAGAGAAUACCUACAACAAAGACAAGUUUGUUUAUGACUGUGGUCCGCUGCUUAUCUGCACAAUUUAUUGGUCACAUAAAAUAUUUUGUAAUUUCGUACUACAGUGGGUUUGACAGAAAUGUCCACAUAUCUUACGUAAUACUUUGACUGGUUCUAUCUAUUUAAAUUUAAAUCUAAGUAUAUUAUUUGUAAAGUUUCUAGGUUGAGUGUAAACAUUGCACUGUAUGCAUAAAUGGUUAAACCUAACCUAAACAUAACCAUCACAUUUCUAAGAAAAGUAUUUUUCUUCCUAUAUUUUCUUUGAGUAAGCAGAAAAAAAUCCAUCAGUACUUACAUUUAGGCACAUAUCAAGCUCCAUUGUUUACUUUAAGAAUUAGAGUAUAAAUGAACUUCUUUCUUUUAUAUAAAUGCACAUAUUUUUACACUGAAAUCUCUCAGCUAACUCGUGACACUUGACAUUAAUCACAUACAUAGAUCAACAAAGACUUUGCUUUCAUAUAGAAAGUAAUUUCAAACAUAUUUCUAAAUUAUGACUUGUUAUUGCAGUCAAUUUAAUUAUCUAGCUAAUGACAAUGUAUGUUCAUAAUCAAAGUAGUCAAAAAUACCAAGUUUAGUAAUUAGACCAUAUAAUUCCUUAACAACUCAAUUUAUAAUGGAAAAGUACAAUGCUUUUAGACAAUGUUCUUCAAAUACUCCUCUAUAUUCAGAAUUAGGAAUUCCACAGUGUAUUCUUUUGACAUUUAAAGCUGGAGAUGGAGUGUUUAGGUUAGAAGCGUAGCUCCCUCCUGUAUUCUACCUGAAAUUGCUUGUAAGUCACAUUACAUUCUAAAUCCAUUUCCCCUCAAACCAUGCUGAGGGUAUAACAUUUACUCUCUGUCAUUAAUGUUCUUUUCUGUAAGACAUACCAAUAUGAAUUGUAACACAAUGAAACAAUUAAUCUUUCUUGGGCAAUUUUAAUGAUUCUAUAAUUAUAGAAAACUAUAGAAAAUCAUGUUUUCCCGUUUAUCAACUCAGAUACUCAGUGACAUUUCAAUGCCAAAGACAAAAAAAAAAAAAAAAAAAAAAAAGGCGGGGUGGGGGGGGGAAGGGGAGAAUCUCCUGUAUUUUCAUUUUAAGAGUAUCAUACUAACGGAAAUCUAUAAACUAAACAUAGAUAGUGUCACAAAUGCAAACUGACACAUGGCAUAACUGGUGGCUGUGCAAAAAUCCAGCCGGAAAAGUACUAAAAUAGGCUAAUUUCAUUUCUGCCAGCUGCCUGCCUUUCCAUUCUUUAUCUCAGCUAUUAGGUUUGAAUAAAUUUCAUCUCCCACACUACAAGUAAUGAGCAGGCAAUGACUUAUGAAGCACCGAGACCAAGUUAAGACAGAAUUAGAAUACAAUUUUAAUGAGACGGAGCUGAGAAAGUGGAAGUGUUACUCCUUUGACAGACUUGGCAAAAUACCCAAUAUUAUUUCAAAUGCUCUUUCCUUUUUACAAAGAAACUGUCAAAUAUUAAAAUAAAAAUUAUAAAAAAUAAGACUGAGGAAUUCUUUAGGGGCAGAUUGUUAAUGUGAUUGUAAGCUAAAAAUAGUUAUUAGAGAAGUCAUUUAAGGAAGAGAGCAAAUGUGACUUCAAUGUAAACAUAUUAAAUAUAAAUACUCCUCUGAAAACAAACAACAUGCUUUGGUUUCUCUGGGAAAAAAAAAAAGCAAUUAACAUUCAGG